AGCCAUGUGAGUCAUUGUAGCAAUACAAGGCAUACGGCUCAGUAACACGUAGUCAAUCUGCCCUAUGGACGUGGAUAACCUCGGGAAACUGAGAGUAAUCCGCGAUAGAUCAUAAUGCCUGGAACGGUUUAUGGUCCAAAUGAUUCGUCGCCAUAGGAUGGGACUGCGGCCUAUCAGCUUGUUGGUGAGGUAAUGGCCCACCAAGGCUAUUACAGGUACGGGCUCUGAGAGGAGAAGCCCGGAGAUGGGUACUGAGACACGGACCCAGGCCCUAUGGGGCGCAGCAGGCGAGAAACCUUUGCAAUGUGCGCAAGCACGACAAGGUUAAUCCGAGUGUUUCCUGCUAAAGGAAUCUUUUGUUAGUUCUAAAACCACUGAUGAAUAAGGGGUGGGCAAGUUCUGGAGUCAGCCGCCGCGGUAAAACCAGCACCUCAAGUGGUCAGGAGGAUUAUUGGGCCUAAAGCAUCCGUAGCCGGUUCUGUAAGUUUCCGGUUAAAUCCACUAGCUCAACUAAUGGGCUGCCGGAAAUACUGCAGAACUAGGGAGUGGGAGAGGUAGACGGUACUCGGGAGGAAGGGGUAAAAUCCUUUGAUCUCUUGAUGACCACCUGUGGCGAAGGCGGUCUACCAGAACACGUUCGACGGUGAGGGAUGAAAGCUGGGGGAGCAAACCGGAUUAGAUACCCGGGUAGUCCCAGCUGUAAACGAUGCAGACUCGGUGAUGCACUGGCUUUUGGCCAGUGCAGUGCCGCAGGGAAGCCGUUAAGUUUGCCGCCUGGGAAGUACGUACGCAAGUAUGAAACUUAAAGGAAUUGGCGGGGGAGCACCACAAGGGGUGAAGCCUGCGGUUCAAUUGGAUCAACGCCGGAAA
rnacentral:rRNA from 1 species